UCCGGUUUGUCACCGGCAGUCUCCCUAGAGUUCCCACCAUUACGUGCUGGCAACUAGGGACAAGGGUUGCGCUCGUUGCGGGACUUAACCCAACAUCUCACGACACGAGCUGACGACAGCCAUGCAGCACCUGUCUUGUCGUUCCUUGCGGCACUCCCGCAUCUCUGCAGGAUUCGACAGAUGUCAAGGCCAGGUAAGGUUCUUCGCGUUGCAUCGAAUUAAACCACAUACUCCACCGCUUGUGCGGGCCCCCGUCAAUUCCUUUGAGUUUCAGUCUUGCGACCGUACUCCCCAGGCGGCGAACUUAACGCGUUAGCUUCGACACUGAGUACCGUAAUGUACCCAACAUCCAGUUCGCAUCGUUUAGGGCGUGGACUAC
rnacentral:misc_RNA from 1 species